AUUGCCCUCAUGAAUCCUUUUCCCACUCAACUCAGGGUACCAAGAGGGCAGGUUUGCACCUACCUAGAGUGUACAGUAAAACUACAGACAGUUUCAACAUAUCUUACUCCAACAUAAACUCUGAUCAGUUUAGAUAAUCUUUGUCACUCCUGAGUCAUGACUGGGCACAGACCUCACCCAGUGGCCACAGGAAUCAAUGGGAGAUUUCACUGUGAGAACAAUAAACAGUGUAAGCACCA